GAGGGAAUAAAGAGCAGAUUGAGGAAAUGUCUUACAGGCACAGCAAGGUUUGUUAGCUCCUUCUGACCAAGCAACUAUUCCUGAGUGUGUAGUAUAUUCAGCUGCAUCAUUUGCACCUCAUCUAUUACCUGUUUGCACAGGUAGAGUGUCUGUAACCACGGGAGGGGGAGCGUGUGCUUUUCAAGUGGGGUCCUUCCUCCUUGAUGGAAAUGCCAACUUUUCCUGCACUGGUGAGGAACCUGGAGCAAGCCAUGGAUGGCCACAAGCAAACACGUCUGCGGGUGAAGGCCAGCAGAGGAAGAGUGACAUCAUGAAACCCAAGAGGGAAAGCAAACACCAAGCCAGCGCCAUGUGCAGGAUGGAACAGUGCUGGUGCCAGUCCUGGUGCCACAGAUUGCCUCCUCCUUGGAUGCAUGCCAUUCCAUGCCCAGCUACUUAAAACACAAAGGUUUGCUACUGUAGGCAGGCUGUAUGUAUGCAGGCAAACCUGCAUGCCAAGAUCCAGGUGUCUGGGAUGCUGUUCAACAGGAUCACUUGUAGGAAUCAGCAUUGUAUGAAAGUGCUGGUAGGAUUGGCCUAGAGUUCCCCAAGAUACAACAUCCCCUGCAUCAUCUGCUACCAGCAAAACCAGGCUUUACUGAGUUCCCCUGCUUAGCCCCACUGAAGCCAAAGCCAGUGCUGACACCUCUGUACAAACAAUGGCUUGUGUGGCUAUAAAUAUAUCCACUAACAAAUAUAGAAUACUGCCCUUCAACCACAAUUGCUAUAAAUUUAUUACAAAUAAAAAACCCCGAACUUGAAAAGCAGGACUUGAAGACCAGGACUUGAAAAGCAGCACUAUAAAAAUUAAACCUUCCUGGCACUACAAGUCAGUGUGCCUGGAACACUUGGUUUUGCAAAGGACCCUGACAACUGAGAAUAAACCCCAAAAUUUAUCAACUUGUUUAUUGUUUUGUUGGUUUUUUUUUUUUCUGGUAGAAGUAAGUUUCAUAUGUUAACAAAAGCAGAAUAGUUUUAUUUAGUGUUCAUCUCACACCUUUGACAGCUGCAGCUGUCAGGCACAGAAGUACAGUAUUAAAAUAAACUGAACAGAGUUGCUCAUUGCAAAAAAUCACACUAUGCAAACCUGUGGAUUGUAACAUCAACAGUAUAAAAUGUAACAAAAUUGGAACUUUUAAUUUUUUUUAAGCUUUUAAAGAUAAUAGUCCAGGCUAUAAAACUAUAUAAGCAUUGAAUAAGAAAUGUUAAAGUCAACAAGUCUACAACAGAUACAUCUUGUAAAAACUCAAUAAAUUAUAUAUAUAUUUAUAAUAUCUAGUAACAUUUAAAACCAUGCACAGUUUUGUACAUUUUCUUUUUUCAGUACAGGAAAACUCUUUGCUUCGAGUACUUGGAAUGUACAUAAUUAGCAGACAUUUGUAAGAAAAUACCAAAAAAUUCUUUUUUUUUUUAUUCCAACAAAACAAAAAUCUAUAGAAAUCUACCUUCUCAAACUUCCACUGAAGUAACCUCAAACUAUAAAUUAUUUAUUUUAGGAUAAGGAUUCUGUGGCUCUAAGAAGAAAAAAAAAUAUCUUUAAAUGAGAUGCUGUCAUCCUGUUAUUCAGCAACAUUGAUAUGCAAUAUGCACCAGAGAAAAAUGAAAAGAAAGAAUUUAGGAUGCAAUUUGCUUUGCCUCUUUCUGGCAGUACAUAAAGAUGUCUUCUGGACAAAAAACAAACAAACAAACAAAAAAAACCCCACCCACAAAAAAUGCUCAGCCCAAACCUCCCCCACUGUCAGCUUGAUCCCUGCUAACAUUCCUUCGUUCCCUCCUGUGUUUUUACACAGCUAUCUGGCAUUGAGGAACAAAACAGCACAGCAUUCUGAACACCAAAACUCAGGCAUCACUGGCACUUUCCAAUGUGUUAGAUGCAAAAGAAAUAUGCAGCUGUAGCAGCUCUUCUGCAAACAGUGUCACUAUUCUGCUCACAUGGCAUUUCUGAAGCCCAAAAUACAACAGUACUGGCAAAGGGGAGAGAAAAAACCUACCCUGCACCAUCCAAAGUCAACAUUUCACUUUGCUGCAUACUUGUUAUUAAAUCGACCACAAAGAAUACCUUCAUUUGAAAAUAGAAAAAUAAACAUCCACACCCCCUUAAUGCACAGUGGUUAAACUGAUGGAAGAAUUCUUGGCCCUGUUUUUCUGAAAUAUGUAAAAAUCAUCUCUCUGCUGCUAUUUGUUUGGUUUUAACCACUGGUGAUGUAUUGAAAAAUAAACUUACCUUUGCUCACUGCAAUCCAGGAUAAACUAAUAUUUUUUUAAUGAAUACAUAUAUAUAUUUAUAACAUUAAAUGUAAUUUGUUAAAGGAACUGUACAUCUAUACAUUCUUUCAAUAUUUCCCAUAAACACAAAGGAAAAACUUGAUUAAUAUAUUUUUUCUCCAUUUUUAAUAAGUUAAAAAAACACCCUUAAGUUUGGUGAAAUUUAAAGUUUACAGUAACGCUAUGCUAUUUAAACCAAUGAACAGAUAUGUUAAUGUCUAUAAAUAACUUUACAAAUAUACAUGUUAAGGUACAAUUUUUAAAACAAAACUGUGAAGAUAUAAAACAAUCAAAAACAUCUUUUCUUUUGCCCAGAUCAGUAUAUCCUAGAUUGCAAUGCUCGUAAUUUUGAGACUCUCUCUCUCAGUACUGCUUUAUGUUGCAUUAGUAUUAUACAUUCUUUUCUUUUAAUAUAUUUAUUUAUAUAUAUACACGAUAUAUUUAUAGAUAUAUACAGAUUCUCUGGAAUAAACCUUUUUGAUAUAAGUUAAAGGCUCUUGCCUACAGGUACCCGUAACUUCUUUCUCCAAGUCACUGCACGUAGAUGGAGCCAAACCUCUGGUGUUGAGGGGUGUGGAGAGAGGAGCUGCUCCCUCCACUCACCCUUGGCAAGCAACAACAGCCAAACCCCAAAAAUGAGAUUUAUUCCUUUCCCCACCCCUGCAACUGGCUGUUCUCAAAGAUCAGGGUGUGACUUGAGAUGCCGUGGGCACCCAGGAGCCAGGUCUCAGGGCACCCUCCGCUCUCAGGUGGGUGAUGCUCUGCUCCCCAGGGACCCCACAGGGUCUCUGCCCAUCCCUGGGGUCUGCUCCUGCCUUGGCACAGACACAUCAUUCCCAGCCCCGUGCGAGGCCAAGGCGCUGACGCUUCGGAUGACUUGACCAUCUCUUUUUCUACUAUUUUUACUUUCAUUUCUCCAUGACAAUUUGCAUUUUACUUAGCUUUGCCUUCUCUUCUUCCAAAAACAGAUUCCUUCUGUGUAGCUGGGUAGUACGAUCAUGAAGCUAUAAAAACGACGACAACAAAAAUAUAGAUAUUUUUAUAAAUAUAUGAAUCCCUGCAGGCAACGUGGCUUUUCAGCUCCACCAAAAAGGUUCAUGUACAGAUUGCAUAAGCGAAGAAUUUCCACAUUCUUUACACCUUUUU